rfam:Oryza nivara chromosome 3, whole genome shotgun sequence.
AAAAAAAUAAACUCUGGUUCUUCGUAUCCAACGUUUGCCUGUUCGUCUUAUAUGAAAUAUUUUUAUAAUUAGUAUUUUCAUUAUUGUUAGAUGAUAAAACAUGAUUAAUACUUUAUGCGUGACUUGUCUUUUUAAUUUUUUUCAUACUUUUUUUAAAUAAGACGACGGUCAAACAUUGGACACGAAAACGCAGGAUUUAUA